AAGCUGACUACAAUCAUAUACCUUGUGCUGUAUUUUGGUAACAAAAAUAUUCCACCUAAAUUUCAAAGUUAUUUUACAUGACACUACUAUAUUCUGUGUGAAGUAAAUUACAAGAAAAAGUUACCGCUGCAUAAUUGAUUAUUUGGAAUAAACUAAUUCACAUAUUGAUUGAUAAAUGUGUCAAUGCUGUGUAUCCUUUGCUAAACCAGACACCAGAAACUCCCUGAAAAUUCCAAUAAAUAUCAUCUGCAUGCCUUGUUUCAAGAUUUUUACUAUGCAUUUUUUCCUUCCCCAAAGGUUUUUUUUUGUCAGUUUCUCUUUUAGAGCCCCUUUCAAUAUAUGAUCUUGGUAGAUGUAUGUUAUAUAUUCCAAUCCACUAACGUGGAGCUCAGCCAUAUGCUUCGUGAAGCUAAUUAAUUAUCUUGUAGUAUCCUGAGAGGAAGGAAUGUGCAAAAUUCUUACAGAGGGAAUCAAACAACAAUCACAUUUUUUUAUUCUUCCUGGAAAGUACCAAGGGAGCUAAUGUGCUUCUUGCACUGAAAACAGGGAACCUUGCCUUCUUUUUUUUUCUUUUUUUUUUUGGCAUAAAUAUAACAAAUGAGUGAACAACUUCUUGUUAGUUUUUGGUUUAACAGGUAAAUGUUCUUUGUUGAGUAGUUUUCUCUCUGCUGACAAUGGCUUGGACUUUUAAGUAGGAUUUGAAUGCUUGAUUUCCGAAUGGAUGCACCUUAUCCACCAAAAAAAAAAAAAGAAGAGAAAAGAUAACUAGUUGUGCUUAUUCUUGCAUGAUCUGUGGAUAUGUCAUAUGUAUAGUCACUUUGCUCAUGGGACCCUAGCAAGAGGCCAACGGCUGUAGAGGCCCUCCAACAUUCAAAUGCGCGGUAUGCUAUCAAGUCAUCAGCUGUCAAAUAUUGGCAGAGUGGUUCUCUUUCUAUUUGUAUGUUUUCUUGAAAAAAUCUUGGCUGCAGGUUGGACAUGAGAUGCAGGUAGCAUUCUGUCUCAUCCAGAAGUAUGUUGAUAUGCAAUCUAUUGGAACUAAACUACAGAUAAUAUCCGCAUUUUCUAUUGAGCAUGUGAAAGGUUAUAUUUAUAUUGAAGCUAAUAGGGAACGUGAUGUCAUUGAGGUAUUUUCUUGCAGAUGUAGAGCACUUUCAUUUCUUCUUUUUCCCUUUUUACAUGCUUUCCAGACUAAUUAGGAAUGGAACCAAUUUUCAAAACAGUGAAGUUUCUAAGGGCACAUGGGUCCGCGUGAAGUAUGGGAAAUAUAAAGGGGACCUUGCACAGGUAUGAGGUGUCUUUUCUUGAGAUGAGAAUUAGCUGGCUUUCUGCUGGUUUUAAAAGUUCUCUUUUAUCUAUACAUCUUUCUGUAGGUUGUGGCUGUUGAUGAUGCAUGGAAGAGGCCACCGUAAAGCUAAUUCCAAGGAUCGAUCUCCAAGCCAUGGCACAAAAAUAUGUAUGUAAUUUCUUUCUUCCAGAAAAUUUAUGUGGCAGUGAUUUUGGAAUUAUGAAGCAACUACUGUUGGUUGCAUGCUAUUGUUUUCUAACCAACAUUCUAUUUUGACUUUUGUUUAGCUCUAAUCAAUUUUAUUAUUAUUAUUAUUUUUUCUGGUGUGAAUAUAUAUUCAUAUUUCCAGCUACCAUUAUCAGUGUAUAUGCUUCCUUUAGCCAUUUGAUUUGUUCACUAGUUUGCAUUUACUUCCUGUUGUGUUUCUGCUUAUGACAUUAUUACUUGUUUUGUGGAAUGAUUUAUAUAUUUCUAAAAUGGAUCAAUGAACUUGGUGUUUUCGCCAUUCAUUUGCACAAGCUUUAUCACUAUUUAUGCAUGGUAGGCUUGAUUCUCUGUUACAAUUCUGUAUUUUUGUAUGUGAAAUUUUAUUUAUUUGUCUUUGGUAUUAAGGGAAUUUGGAGUGGAAUGAUUACUGGGAUUGCUCUACAGACCCUCAUACUUGUAGUAAUCACGUGGCAUACCCUCAGGAAGAAAGAGCUUUACUUUAUCAGCAUAGCUAGAUGUUAAUGAAAUGACUUGAGGAAAUGCAUUCCCAUGCGGCAGGGAGAUUCAGUUUUUGAACCUUGUUUCUUUAUCUAUGCAGAGAAAAUAAGGCGUGGGUUUUCAUUUACCCCAAAAAUAUAUGAGGUAAUGCUUUGAUAUUUUGGAAUGGUUUUCUUUGAUUUUUUUCUUUUUUUAAUAUUAGAGUGUAAUUAAAUUGAGAGUUGUUGUAGAUGCUAAUAGAUUCUCAACUUUCUAAAUCUGUUCCUUUACUACUAUUAUUGUGAUCAUUAUGUAGAA